GCUACGGGCGGCAGCAGUGGGGGAUAUUGGACAAUGGGGGAAACCCUGAUCCAGCGACGCCGCGUGAGUGAAGAAGUAUUUCGGUAUGUAAAGCUCUGUCAGCAGGGAAGAAAGAAAUGACGGUACCUGACCAAGAAGCCCCGGCUAACUACGUGCCAGCAGCCGCGGUAAUACGUAGGGGGCAAGCGUUAUCCGGAAUUACUGGGUGUAAAGGGAGCGUAGACGGGGAUGCAAGUCUGGAGUGAAAGGCGGUGGCCCAACCCCCGGACUGCUCUGGAAACUGUGUAACUUGAGUGCAGGAGGGGUAAGCGGAAUUCCUAGUGUAGCGGUGAAAUGCGGAGAUAUUAGGAGGAACACCAGUGGCGAAGGCGGCUUACUGGACUGUAACUGACGUUGAGGCUCGAAAGCGUGGGGAGCAAACAGGAUUAGAUACCCUUGUAGUC
rnacentral:rRNA from 1 species